UACGGGGGGGAGCAAGCGUUGUUCGGAAUUACUGGGCGUAAAGGGCGCGUAGGCGGGAUGGUAAGUCGGUCGUGAAAUCCCUCGGCUCAACCGAGGAACGUCGAUCGAUACUACCGUUCUUGAGGAUUGCAGAGGAGACUGGAAUUCCCGGUGUAGCGGUGAAAUGUGUAGAGAUCGGGAGGAACACCGGUGGCGAAGGCGGGUCUCUGGGCAAUUCCUGACGCUGAGGCGCGAAAGCGUGGGGAGCGAACAGG
rnacentral:rRNA from 1 species